rnacentral:rRNA from 1 species
AACGAACGCUGGCUGCAUGCCUAACACAUUCAAGUCUAACGAGACCUUCGGGUCUAGUGGCGCACGGGUGCGUAUCGCGUGGGAACCUGCUCUUAGGUUCGGAAUAACUCCCCGAAAGGGGUUCUAAUACCGGAUAAUGUCUUCGGACCAAAGAUUUAUCGCCUUUGGAUGGGGCCGCGUUGGAUUAGCUAGUUGGUAGGGUAAAAGCCUACCAAGGCGACGAUCCAUAGCUGGUCUGAGAGGAUGAUCAGCAACACUGGGACUGAGACACGGCCCAGACUCCUACGGGAGGCCGCAGUGGGGAAUAAUGGCCCAUGGGCGAAAGCAUGAGCCAGCCAUGCCGCGUGAGUGAUGAAGGCCUUAGGGUUGUAAAGCUAUAUUCACCGGGAUGAUAAUGACAGAACCGGGAGAAUAAGUUACGACUAAAUACGUG